rnacentral:rRNA from 2 species
CCCUUCAGAGGGGGACAACAGUUGGAAACGACUGCUAAUACCGCAUACGAUCUAAUCUCGGCAUCGAGGAUAGAUGAAAGGUGGCCUCUAUGUAUAAGCUAUCACUGAAGGAGGGGAUUGCGUCUGAUUAGCUAGUUGGAGGGGUAACGGCCCACCAAGGCGAUGAUCAGUAGCCGGUCUGAGAGGAUGAACGGCCACAUUGGGACUGAGACACGGCCCAG